rnacentral:rRNA from 1 species
CUCUGUGACUCCUACGGGAGGCAGCAGUGGGGAAUAUUGCACAAUGGGCGCAAGCCUGAUGCAGCCAUGCCGCGUGUGUGAAGAAGGCCUUCGGGUUGUAAAGCACUUUCAGUCGUGAGGAAGGUAGUGUAGUUAAUAGCUGCAUUAUUUGACGUUAGCGACAGAAGAAGCACCGGCUAACUCCGUGCCAGCAGCCGCGGUAAUACGGAGGGUGCGAGCGUUAAUCGGAAUUACUGGGCGUAAAGCGCAUGCAGGUGGUUUGUUAAGUCAGAUGUGAAAGACCCGGGGCUCAACCUCGGAAUUGCAUUUGAAACUGGCAGACUAGAGUACUGUAGAGGGGGUAGAAUUUCAGGUGUAGCGGUGAAAUGCGUAGAGAUCUGAAGGAAUACCGGUGGCGAAGGCGGCCCCCUGGACAGAUACUGACACUCAGAUGCGAAAGCGUGGGGAGCAAACAGGAUUAGAUACCCUGGUAG